AAUACAAUCAAAAACAUAAGAGUUUUUGAUGUAUUGAAUACCUUUUGAAAACUUAGUAAAGAAGGUAUUGUACCUACCUAGGCAAUAUCUGUCUUUUUGAAUUGUUUAUGUAGAUAAAUUUAUCAGAAUUACUUCCAGAACCUAAUAAUAAUGAUAAAAAUAAUCCUAUAUAUAUAUAAGUACAGUGUGACAUGCCAGAAGUAUCUUGGAAGGAAAUCCUCUCUACUUCAGUAUGAAGAACUUCAUCAAAUGUUUUCUUGAUUGUUGUGGCACUGAUAUCAGUUUAUAUGUUAAUUGGUUCUAGCUUACCAAAGAAAGGAUGUAUUGUGUCCAUUUUUACCUUGUAAGGAAAAUGGGGUGUCAUCUAAUUCUAAUGUAUAGCAAGUAAAAAACAGAAAUGUGAUAGGAAAUCUACAGGCAGAAAACUUAUAUAUCUGUGCUAAAUGGUAUUUCUCAUUUCCAAAUUGACUUCCUGUAAGACAGCAUCACUAAAAGAAUCACUAAAUUGUCAUAAGGAUCUGGGGGAAAAAAUGUUUUAAAAGUUAAUCACUGUAUCCUGGAUUAAACCAAUAAAAGAAGAUCAUAUCAAUCAGAAAUGAAAAGUUUCAGUAUUUAAAUUUGCCAAACCUCCUCUCCGCACUUUUCCCUCCUAGCGCAAUCUAAACACACCCUUGAAUUACUCUGUUAUUCUGUGAUCUCCAUUCUAUCAACAUUAAUGCUGAUUUCUCCUCUUGUUUCAAGUCUGCAUGGUCAGUUUAAGACUAAGAUAGUCAAAACUAGAUGUUUAUGUUUCUUUCUAAGCCUUUUUGCACUUAUUUUGCAGUUGGCAAUAUUACUGUUCCUGGACUCACAAAUAACCUUUGUUAAGAAGAAGGCCCCUGCCUUCAUAAGCAUCUUCACUUUUGGAGAUGGUUGCCAGUUUUUAAGACUAAACUACAGAAGAAGAUAGGUAAGAAACAUAGCAUCUUGUUCUGGAAGUUCAUUAAGGUAGUGUGAAGUAAUCUGUCACUGACCACAGUAAAUUUAAGAGAAAGAGGAAAACACCAGAAGCAGAAAACUGGAUACACAGGUGAAACAGGAUCAGAUCAGAAAUCAUGAGCUACAGGGGCAGAGAUCAAAAACACCCUAAGGGACUCUAAUCUGAGAUCACAGUGUUUCAAACUGCUGAGGAAACUGAGACAAGGGAAAGCAUGUAGGUGUUUUAUCUAGAUUUGUAUACUUAUCCUAAUAUAGAAGGUGUGGAGAUUUGGUAUCCUUGUAGGAUCUAUAUGGUUGGUUGUUGUAGCUAUCGUUUGCCCUGAAGUGGUGAACUAUCCCUCCUAUCCCUUUUUUUUUUUUUUUUUUUUUACGGGUAGUCAAUCCUAAUCUGGUGAUUGCAGCGCUGCGAGAUUGCAUAUUCUUUCUUCUGUGAAGAGUAAUGAUGAGGAAUGCUUUUCAAAACAGCCUACGGUGGCAACGGAAACAAGGAGUCCUCAGAUCUAAUACUGUGGAAGGAACUUUAAACUUCAUUGUGACAGGACCUAAACAGAGUAAUUGUUCUGAGAGAGCAGUAUUAAAGCUCAUUUGUCUCUCUGUAUUUGUGGUAUUGCUUUAUACACAGGUUCUGAUCUAGGUGGCUGCUACCCUAAGUGUUAUUGCUAUAUUUUUUUCUGAAAAAAUCCGAAACCUGGGCAACUUAAAUUUUUCUGACACAUUUCUGAAGUAAUAUCCCAGAAAUCCCCAGGAAUGAUGCAAUGCCUUAAUUUCCUAUUUUCAAAGUGAAUUGAAUGAGAUUGUUUAUCUCACACACACACACACACAAGCAGGUAUAGCAUGUAACCAUUCUUUCUAUUCAUUCUUUCUGGUAGGUAUGAAAGAGUAAGAAACUUUUCAGAACUGGUGACAUGAGGUUGAAAUUCUCUAAAACUGUUUUAACCUUUGGGUUCAUCUUUUGCUUGAUAGAGCUUUCUUUAUGAUUUAGCCAGUUUAUAGUCUGUAACAAUUUGAGCCUUUAUCCAGCAGCCAUUAUCUCCUGAGUUCUACCCAGGACUGAGUUUUCCUAUUUAAACCAUUUCUGUGUAUAUUUCCCAUAUAAAGACCUGUAUCACUGGAAUAUUAUGAGACACACAUAGCAAAUGCACAGUUUGCAUUUGCAAACCAUCCUGAAACUGCAGAAGGGCGUUUAUACAUUCUCUGUGCUUUAUGGUACAAGCCUGUUAGAAUUACAAGUUUAAAUAAAAGUUUCACAAGUAUUUUGAAAGCUUUGGAA
rnacentral:lncRNA from 1 species